GGGAGGAUUCCGAGCGGCGGUCUGGGACGACCUAAGGGUCUCCGCGCGUGUGUAGGAGGAAAGGAAGAUUGUUAACCACCUAGCCUGCAAGGCUUAGAGCUGAAUACGAACCAGGGACUGGGUGCACGGAAGCCAGAGGUUCUUUGUUUAUAAGAUUUAUUUUCUAGUUAUGUGUGUGUGUGUGGGUUUUUGCAUGCGAGUGCAGUGCUCUAGGAGGCCAGAAGAGGCCGUCGGAUUCCCCCUGGAGCUGGAGUUACUAGCUGGUGUGAGGUGGUGUGUUGGGAAUUGAACUGUCCUCGGCACGCAUUCUUCACCUCUGAGCCAGCCCUUCAGCCCCAUUGAUUUGUUUUAAAACUAAGGUUUCUUGAAGGGUGUGCCUGCUUUGCGUCAGACUCUGUAGACAUCAAGACACACACUUGCUUUUGAGGAGUUGCCCUGACAGGGAGACCCAUAGUAAAUACUCAAACCCUUAAACAUCAGUUUCCUUGAAUCCUCACAGCUGCUUCAUGUAAUCAAUCUCACAAGGGAAAGCAAUGCUCACAGACUGUGUGAGCCUUUGGGUUCUGAUGUGCGACCUGACUCCAGGUCGUCCAGCAAUGCAAGGAGGUAGCAGCUGUCAGGAAUUUUCGUAUUUGCUAGCUUCACAACACAGUUUAUCCUGAUUCCUCGGGUAGAGGAUCCUUAUGUCCUCAUUUUAGAAGACAAUACAUCAAUUUGUUGGCGUGUUCUUCACCCUUUGCAUUUGGUCUUUGUGAUUAACUUCUCUACAGUAUCCACAUACUUUAUAUUUUUCUCUAUACUCCCCUCCCCCCGAGUCCUAGUACAAGUACACUUGUUAUACAUGUCAAUUUAAAUAAUAUUUUGAAAGAUUAGUUUUGUUUUAUGUGUAUGUGUGGACUCAAGUGUGUGUAUAUGCACUGUGUGUAGGUGCCCAAGGAUACCAGAAGAGGGCACUGCAUAUCCUGGAACUGGAGUUCCUGGCAUUUGUGAGCCACCACGUGGGUUCUGGGAACCAGUUCUUCUGUAGAGCAGUAAGUACUCUUAACUGCUGAGCCAUCUCUCCAGCCCAUUAAAUGAUUUAAAAAAAAGGAUUCUGUAGACGUAACUCACUGCCCUGAAAAUACCAACCUAAAAAAGUAUGUGCAAUAUGGUCAAAAGUUGUGUAGAAGAUAAGGUGCAAAAAGAGGCCCAUGAGGAAAGAUAAGAGGGAAAAUGUUUUGUGAAAAAAUCUGAUCCAGAUAUGGCAGCACAUCUGUAAUCCUAGCAGAGGCCAGCUAGGGCUAUAUAGUGAGAUCCUGUCUCAAAAUCAGAACAAGGGACUGGAGAGAUGGCUCUGUGGUUAAGAGUACAUGCUGCUCUUGCAGAGGACCCUAAGGUGGUUACACACACACACACACACACACACACACACACACACACACACAAAAAAAAAACUAAAAGUUUUCCCCAAGUCUUUACAAAGUUGGCAGUAAUUCUUUUACAUUAUAAACUCAGAAUAGUGGCUGGCGAAUCACAUCUCUGCUUCCCUGUUUUUAUUAUCUGAGCAGUACUGUAUGCUACAAGAAGUUUGCCUCUUUCGGAUGACAGAACAAGCUACCAGUAGAAGCAAUUAAGACAUGGCUGCUCUUUUGCAUUGGAGCUGUCUUGCUGCCUUUAAGGAAAAAAGUCCCAGAGCUUUAGAGUGGAUUCAACCUUUAAGUUUUCACUGUGUCUCCGAGUCAAGAUAAAAUGCUGACACCAAGAGAGAACAGAUGGUGUGCAUGAAAUGAGUCACAUGUCUGAAGCCAUCAGCUAGCAAGAACAACCUACAGGAGAGGAAGGAACUCAAGUGACUUUUUUUCUCCCUUCUCUACUUUUUUUUGAGGCUAAAAACCUUGAGUAAAAGAAGAUUGAGUAAGAUUUGGAAAACAACAGAUGGUCCUUUAAACUGUCAGCAUCCAAGCAUAUGAAGAAUCCAGGCUGCUCGUGUGGUGGUUCAGUGUGGAGGACUCUUUCUCUCUGUCCUUCUUUGCCCCAUCUCUGGUCCAUCACGACUUCCAUGGAGACACUUGACUUUCAUUUAGGUUUCUUACUGGUGCUCCCUGGGACAUUUUCUUUAGUGGUCAUUUAGGACAGACCAUUUCUACUUUUUAUCAAAACAUUUAUUUGUUUGUUUGUUUGUUCUCUGUGUAGCUCUGGCUGUCUUGGCUCUGUAGCCCAGGCUGCCCUCAAACUCAGAGAUCAGCCUGCCUCUGCCUCCCAAGUGCUGGGACUAAAGGUGUGCACCACCACUGCCUGGCAAAACAUGUAUUCAUUAUUAUUUAAAACUCAUAACUACUAUAAUCCCAGCACUCAGGAAGCAGAGGCAGGGUAAAUGAAAUUUCAUGGCCAGCCUGGGCUACAAAGAGACCCUGUAUUAAACAAAACAUGGCCUGGUGAGAUGGCUCAGUGGAUAAAGGCACCUACUGCCCACCCGAGUUCAAUCCCUGAAACCCAUGUAAAGGGAAGAGAGAAUCAACUCCACAAAGUUGUCCUUUGACCUCUACACAUGUGCUGUAUGGUGCAUGUGUACACACACACACACACAAACAUACAAUUUUAAAACAGAAGAAUGUAACAAAGCCAAACCCUCACAGCUAUGCAGUCUGACCUCCCUGGCUGGCUUCUGCAUUUCUUAGCUCAAACAUCCCUCACUCAGUAUGAUCUUCCCUGAUACAUUGAUUAGACUGGGUCAAGGAUCCAGCCAAGAUUUUCAUUUGCUCCUUUGACAAGCAUUUCCUACCCUGAGUGCAUGCAGGACAGGCACCUUUCUAAAGGCUGGGACUCUGCCAGGGACAAAAGCUUCACCCUCGUGGUGCUCAGAAUCGUGCUGGAAAACAGAAGAUCUAGCAGAAAGUGUUAUACAGAGACAAUAAGGAAACUUUAAGGAGAUGCUAUCUCUGACAUGAAGGUAAUCAAGGAAGGCUUCUCUACGGAGGUGACCUUUGAGCAGAGGUUUAAAUGAAAUGAGGGGCAAGCCUUAUCGACUGGGAAGAAAUGUCCUAGGUGUCAGUGACAAAAGGGCAAAGGCCUUGAGUGAUGAUCCCUUCUGGGGCUCUUCCUCGCAAAACUCACUGAGGGGCUGGUAGCAGCUCAUGUGUAGCAGGAGCUCAGCACCAAACAUAUCUUUGGGAUGGACAGAUGGAUGGCAUUUCUUCCCACCCCUGUAUACACAUAUCUGUGUUACCCUUCCAUCUGGGAUAUUCUCUUUGUUGACUACCGAAGUGCCUUCCUCCCUCCCCUCCCCUCGUUGACAGAGUCUUCCUAUACAGCCUAGGCUAACCUCAAAUUCAUGAUCUUACUGCCUCAGCCUCCUGUGUGCUGGGAUUCCACCUGCCAGCAUGUCCAGCUCCACCAGGGUAAUGGAAGAAAGGGAGGCAAAUGGAGACUAGCCACCUUUUAUAGAGCAAGGUCUUGUCUCAAAACCAGAGCUAGGCAUGGUGGCACAUGCCUUUAAUCCCAGCUCUCAGGAGGCAAAUGUAGAUAAAUCUCUGUGAGUUCGAGGCCAGCCUGGUUUACAUAGCAAGUUCUAAAAUAGCUAGAGGUACAUAAUUUGAGAAACCUUGUCUAAAAACAAAACAAAAACAAAAUCCAACAACCCCCCCCCCCAAAAAAAAAAAAACAUAGGCAUGGUGGUGCACUCCCGCAUUCCUAACAUUCAGGAGGUGGAGGCAAGGGGAUCACCCCCAAUCUGACACUCCAAGCACAAGCAAAACAACCUCCAGUUUAAUGUGGAUCUUUGCUUGUUUGAUUCUCUGGCCUUGGAGCACAGGAUUGCACAUGCUAGUUUUCAGGAUGUGUGCAUGCCACAAAAGGGUUCCACAGCUGCGAUUCUGAGUGAUACAGCGAGGAAAACCUCAGUCAGCUGUCUCAGGAGAUGGACACCCCAUCCCAGAAAGCACACCAGCUCAUCAGUAUACACAAAAAGCAGCCUCUGCGUGUUGUGAAACAACACGAUCCCAAACAGCCCUCAUCCCCCAGAGAGGGAAGAAGCGCCAUUUGCUCAUCCCAGCUGCCCCAUCCCAGCACUCACAAAUUGAAUCCUAUGACAUCUGAUUUAUUUGCCCUGCUUCUGUGAACAGCUACCACUCCACGACUCCUGUGACCACUUCCGUGACUAUACCAUUUUGUAAGUUAACAGUUCUGCUUGCAUUCCACUUCCAAACAGUUCCAGAACAUUCAACCGCCCUUGUCCUGUCACAAGUGAUAGCCAGUCAUUUCUGUCUCUACAGUAUACAGUAAAUAUGUCCGGAAGCAAAACACCCGAGUUAUAUGCUCACCAAGACUUAUAUGCAUUUCAUUUUUUAUUACCAAUCAAAAAUAAAUUCCAUAUAUUGUUUAGCAAAUAUUAUCAUUGUUUUGUGACAAAAGACACAAGAGUCAUAACAACAAAACUCCCCGAGAGUCAAACUCGUAACAAUGCCAAAAUAAAUCACAAAAAUAUACAAAUUAAAAUCUUAAUGCAAAAUAAAUAGGAGUCAUUUGCUACGGCGACUGUGACUUGCCUACCCACUUGGAUGCCACCUGCAAAGUCUUCCUUACCUGGGAAGACAUACGGACGAGGCCAGUUCCAGGGUAUGGCUCAGCCCAGGAACCAGAGGUUGGAUGAGGAAGUGAAAAAUUGCGCUGGGAGGAGGAAGUCAUCAGACCAGUAAUAUUUGGAAAUAAUUAUGACCCUCUGCAAGAAGUGAUUCUAAAUGUGGGAGGGGGAGGGCGGGCUGGGAGGGGAGGGGCCUGUCUGUUGGUGGUGACUGUGUCUGCAGAGAGGUAGCUGUGGAAGUGUAUGCACCUGCUACUUUUGCUUCACACCAACCACGUGGUUUUGCUCUACCUGGCACUUAGGUCUCUCAGGAACACAGCUGGCAGCUCCUCUAGGGACUUGGGAGCAUGCUGCACCGACAGAAAACUAAGGGUUUCUUAAGGGCUUGGAGGUCUGGUGUCUUUUUCCCUUAUAGUUGAAAACCACCUUCUUCUCUGGGCUUCUAGGAGUAAGUUCUGUGAGUGGAGGAGACCUCAGCCUGGCCAGGGGUACAAGACACCCCUAGGAGGUGGGAUUCUCUGGGUACAUAGACAGCAGAGUACUUGGGGUGACAGGACUCCACUGGCUGAGGAAAGGAGUGAAUACAUUAGAUGAAACCCUCCUUUCCUGGGGGUCCUUAAGUGGGCAAAAGAGGUCAGGUGACCCUCAGCCAGUUACACAGGCAAGGGUGUGAUGACCCAGCUUGGGUGGCUUCCAACAUGUCCUGUCCCCAGUCCCUAGAGGGAUGAGUAUAGAGAUAAGAAUGGGGAGCUGGGGAAGAAGUCUUCCUGGGUGAACUUCUGAACCCUGACUCUUCUUGCAGCUGUGGGUGGUAGAGUAGUAACUGUUAACACAGAUACCUACGGUCACAUUCAGCCCUGGAACCAGAAGGGGUAUCCGACAAGUCACCUCUAAAGUAGGUGCUGUCCCCUCUGAGGGGGGACCUUUGGUAAAACAGAGCGCAUGGCCAAGAAGCAGAUAAGCAACGGUAGAGCCAAAGACCACGCCUAACUCUUGGAGCCAGACCCUAACAGGAGGGAAUUGUCCAAAGGGAUCGAUGAGAGCCAGGGGGGGGUGGUUCUCAGCUGAGUCCUGACUCAGCAGCAGAGCCUGUGGACGGAGUUCUAGGAGAUCACUGGAUCCUGGAGCAGAUGUAGUCCUCUCUGUUGCCGGGGUGGGUCAUCGUGUCCCUGAACAGUUCCCCAGCACCUCUCAGCCUCAGUGACCUCAGUGCGUGUGUCCUAGCAGUGGAUGUCAGUAUCCUUUGGAUCCCUGCUUCCUAGGUAGAACUGUUCUCCUCCCAGGAGCCCCCUCCUGUGGGCUCCAGGCCCCCACUGCUGCAGAAGAAUGGUUCCUAGAGCGACAGACACAGGCUGAAAGGUCUUGGCCAGGAACAGGUUAUGGCUGUUGCUUCCUGGGGUGAGGAACCCUCCUCCCCUUUGGGUUUCUUGAAAAAAAAAAAAAAUUCUUUUUUUUUUUUUUUUAACAUAAAGUUCCUUAACCCUGUCUUCCCUUCCCAAAAUGAUAUUUAAAAAGAGGAGCAAUGAGCCUAGCUUAAAAAUUCUCUCAGUGUUUAAAAAAAAAAAAAAAGACAAAAA